rnacentral:rRNA from 1 species
UUUGUGGUUCAUGACUGGGGUGAAGUCGUAACAAGGUAGCGCUAGGGGAACCUGGCGCUGGAUCACCUCCUUACACGA